UGUUGACACUUUUGGCCCCUAUAGUUUGAAAUACUUCACUUUUGUGCAAUUUCCGCGUCGUAUGAUCCAUGAACCAUCCGUUAAAGGUUAUAAACAUUAUGUGGGGUUAUCAUAGAGCCUAUUUAUCCAUUGUUGACACUUUGGACCCUUACUAUGUUUUCACAUAACGGAACCUUAUGACACGUGUCAAGACAUUAUUGGACGAAAUUUUUCGAGGUGUUACAUCCUCACC
rnacentral:lncRNA from 1 species